GUCCUCUAAUGAUUUUUCCAUUAACUCUUUAACUCUUGUCAAGAUAUAUAAUCUCUCUGGGCCCUAAUUUCUUGGUUGUGAGAAGAUAGCCUAAAUGAUCAUAGUAGUUUAAGCUAAAAGGAAACUUAGAUAGUAUGAUGCUGUUUAAGAGUGCUAAAUUUGAAGUCAGAUCUAGGUUUGACCCACAAAAGUGUGUAAAAUCUUUUACAUUGAGGAUUUCUUAGAGUCAAGAUGGCAAAGCAGUAAAUCACUAUAACUCCCAUAAUCAUCUCCAAAUAACCACAAAAAAGCACCCUAAAACAAAUUCUGGAAGAGCAGAACUAACAAAGACAGGCGAAAACAAUCUUUUAGCCCAAGGAACUUGGAAGAUUGGUAGGAAAGAUCUAUUUCAUUUGGGUAAAAGAAGAAUGCAGUUCAGGACAGGAAGCCAGCCAACAAUCCCCACUUUAGCAAACCAGCAGUAGAUAGUAGAUCUUGAGCACUGGUGAAGUAGGCGAAAGCAACACCAAUACUACUCACAUGCUUCAUCUUACAUAGUCUGGGAAAUCAGACUUGAACUCCAAGAAUCUCUGCUUCACCAUAGCCCUUAGCAAACAAACAGUCUCUCAGCAGCCAGACCACUUCAUUCUGCAGUACAGCCCCAGGGAAAUUCACAAAUCUCCACUGCCUUCACACCAGGCACCAGCACUAGAACCCUGGCUCAGCAUUAGAUAAACUGCCAAAACCCUACAAACUCCAGCAGCACCAGCCACCACCCUUUCCCCAUCUCCUUAGUGCAGCACCAGAUAUGAAGAUCCCCCUUGGGCCUCAAAACAUCAGUCAAUCACUAGAUGAACAGGGUCUGCAGCUCCUGGAACAAGAAGCCUGAGAAUAGUGCUCCUUUUACUUUAAGAACAGAGCUCAAGUUUAAAAGAAAAAGUCCAAAAAAAAAAAAAAAAAAAGAGCAAAAAACAAUGACAAAAGAAUCUGAUCAUAGAAAGUUAUAAGUGACAGAGAAAAUAGUCUGAAACUUAGAAGAGAUCAAAACAAAAAAAAAAGAAAAAAGUGACAGAGAAAAUCGAGUCUGAAAGAAGAGAUCAAAACACCAAAAAGAAAAAAAAAAAAGAAAAAGUAAUUUCAGGUUCAGAACUUAGAAGAACUCAAAAAAGGUUCUUAAAAGUCAUGCGAGAGGUAGGAAAAAAUUGGGAAAAUAAGUUGAUGCAAGAUAAUUAAGAAAAGUCAACAGAUUAGGAAAAACAACUGCUUAAAAAUUAGAAUUUGCCAAAUGGAAAAGGAGAUACAAAAAUUAACUGAAGAAAACCACUUUAAAGAUUAUAAAUGGACAAAUGAAAAAGAACAAAAGCCUAAUUAAAGAAAAUGCCUUAAAAGUUAGAAUUGGACAAAUAGAAACUAAUGAGAUUGAGACAUCAAGAAUCAUCAAAUUCAAAAGAAUGGAAGAAAAUGUGAACUACUUUGUGGGAAAAACAACAGACUUGAAAAAUAGAUCGAGGAGAGGCAAUAUCAGAAUCAUUGGGAUUAUCGGAAAACCUUAAUCAAAAAGAUGACCUGGACAGCAUCUAUCAGGAAAUUAUUAAGAAAACUGCUCUAAUGUCCUGGAACCAGAGGACAAAAUAGGCAUUGAAACAAUCUACUGAUCAACUCAGGAAAGAAGUUCCAAAAUAAAAACUCCAAGGAACAUUAUAGCCAAAUUUCAGAUCAGGUCAAAGUACAAAUAACAGCAAAUGGCUAGAAAGAAGCAAUUUAAAUAUCAGAGAGCUACAAUCAGAGUACAUAAGACUUAGCAAAGGAGUGGAAGUCAUGGAACAUGCAUUCCAGAAGGAUCAGUUGAAUAUAGAAAUCUAUUGUAAUGGACAAGAAAGUGGAAGGGAAGGAAAUUAAUUGGGGAGUGGGGAAGAGAAUGACAGAAGAGAGGGCAGACUAAGGAAGGUGGCAGACAGAAAUAAAACAUUGUCAAGGAGUGAAAGAAUGAAAGGAAAGAAGGGACAAACAGGAGAGAAAAUACUAAAGAAACUGUGAAUGGGAUAAACUUCCCAUAAAACUGAAAUUGAUAGCAGGAUCAGAAAACAAUCCUACAAAAAGGUGUGUGAAGAAAAAACACUUGAAGUAGAGACGGAGUAAAGGUAAAGGAUUGAAGAGAAGCUGUUAUACUUAAGCUAAAAUUUUAAAGAGGGGAGUAGCAAUUCUGAUCUCAGACAAAGCAAAGCAAAAAUCUAAAGGAAAUAUGUUGCUAUAAAGGGAUAAACAAUGAAGUAAUAGCAAUACUAAGAUAGUCUAUUUGUCAGAUCCAUAGAGAAAGGAAGUAUAACUAAAUAAGAGAGCAAGUAUUAUGAAGCAUAAAAUAGAUAAUUUUGAUUAUACUAAAUUUGAAGUUUUGUACAAAAUCAAUGCUAUCAAGAUUAGAAAGCAGACAUCUAAAACAAUCUUUACAAUGAGUGUUUCUGAUGAAGACCUAUUUUUCAAAUUCAUAGAGAACCGAGUCCAAUUUAUAAAACUACAAACCCUUUCCCAAUUGAUUAAAAGUCAAAGGAUAUCAAUAGGCAAUUUUCAGAUGAAAUCAAAACUAACUAUGGGCAUAUGAAGAAAUACUCUAAAUCACUUGUGGUUAGAGAAGUGCAAAUUAGAACAACUCUGAGAUAUCACCUUAUAUCUAUAUACUGACUAACCACAAAAAAAAAAAAGGAAAUGAGAAAUAAUUGGAGAGAUGUGGGAGAAAUGAAGCAUUCAUGCAUUGUUGGUAAAGUGCUGAACUGAUCUAACCAUUUUGGAGAGCAACUUAGAAUUAUGCCCAAAGGGCAACCAAAUUCUGUAUAGUCUGAUCUAGCAAUACUACUACUAGACCUGUAUCCCAGAGAUAUGAAAAGAAGAAAAAGACCUACAUAUACAAAAAUAUUAACAGUAACCCUUUUUUGUGAUGACAAAAUCCUGGAAAUUGAGAGGGUGCCCAUCAAUUGGAGAAUGGCUAAAUAUGAAUGUAAUGGAAUACUGUUGUACAAUAAGAAAUGAACAGGCAGAUUUCAGAAAAACCUGCAAAGACUUGUAUGAACUGAUGCAAAAGUGAAAUGAACAGAACCAGGAAAACAUUUUGCACAGUAUCAGCAAUAUUGUAUGAUGAUAAACUAUGUCUUGGAUCUUUUCAGUUCAAUGAGUCAAAAAAAGUACAAAGGAAAAUGCUAUCCACAUCCAGAUAAAGAACUUUAUGGACUUGGAAUUCAGAUUGAAGCAUAUUUUUUUUAGUUAACUUUAUUCUUUUUGUGUUUUUUCUUCUUGAUCUUUCACAACUGUGACUAAACUGGAA
ensembl:lncRNA